UACGAAGGGGGCUAGCGUUGCUCGGAAUUACUGGGCGUAAAGCGCACGUAGGCGGCUUUCUAAGUCGGGGGUGAAAUCCUGGAGCUCAACUCCAGAACUGCCUUCGAUACUGGAGAGCUUGAGUCCGGGAGAGGUGAGUGGAACUGCGAGUGUAGAGGUGAAAUGCGCAGAUAUCAGGAAGAACACCUAUGGCGAAGGCAGCUCUCUGGGACGGUACUGACGCUGAGACGCGAAAGCGUGGGGAGCGAACAGG
rnacentral:rRNA from 1 species